GUCUUUGUGGAGACUGACAGCCGCGGUCGCAGCUCCGCGGGUAUCCGCUUUAGGGCUGUGGCAGUGUGAAGGAUGGAGGCAGAGGAGAGCGGGGCGCAGCCGCCGAGCGCGGCGCCGGAGCCCAGCGGUGCCGGCCGGCACCUCCCCGACAGCCGCCGCCUGCAGCGCUUCCUGUGCUUCGGCUCCGAGGGCGCCGCCUACCACGCCAAGGACCAGAAGCUGGGCUUGGAAAACGCGGAGGCUUUGCUAAGGCUGAUUGAAGAAGGCAGGGGCUGCGAAGUUGUUGAAGAAAUCAAAGCGUUUAGUCAAGAGGGCAGAGCGGCAAAACAGGAGCCCUUGCUCUUUGCCCUCGCAGUUUGCUCGCAGUGUUCUGAUGCCAAAACAAAACAAGCGGCGUUUAAAGCUGUCCCCGAGGUGUGUUGCAUACCAACCCAUCUCUUUACUUUCAUCCAGUUUAAAAAAGAUCUGAAGGAGGGCAUGAAAUGUGGCAUGUGGGGCCGUGCUCUGAGGAAAGCUGUUGCAGAUUGGUACAAUGGAAAGAAUGGCAUGGCUCUUGCUUUAGCAGUUACAAAAUAUAAGCAAAGAAGUGGUUGGUCUCAUAAAGAUCUUCUGAGGUUGUCCCACCUAAAACCUGCCAGUGAAGGAAUUGCUAUAGUCACUAAGUAUAUUACCAAGGGGUGGAAAGAGGUCCAAGAAGCUUAUAAAGAGAAAGCAGUUUCUGCUGAGACUGAAAAACUCUUGAAGUAUCUGGAGGCUGUGGAGAAAGUAAAACGCACAAAGGAUGAAUUGGAAGUUAUUCAUUUGAUUGAGGAAUAUGGUCUAGUUAGAGAGCAUCUCCUGACAAACCAUCUGAAAUCUAAAGAGGUUUGGAAGGCAUUACUCAAGGAGAUGCCUAUUUCUGUAUUGUUGAGAAAUUUAGGAAAGCUGUCAGCAAAUUCAGUGCUUGAACCACGAGGUUCAGAAGUUGCAAUAGUAUGUGAAAAACUGAGAAAUGAGAAACUGCUAAAAAAGGGUAGAAUACAUCCCUUCCAUAUUUUGGUUGCAUUAGAAACCUAUAAAGCUGGGCAUGGAAACAGAGGGAAGCUUUGGUGGCGUCCUGAUGAAGACAUUUUAGAAGCUUUAGAUGCCUCAUUUUACAAAGCUUUCAAGACAGUGGAACCAACAGGAAAACGCUUUGUAAUUGCAGUUGAUGUUAGUGCAUCAAUGACACAAAAGGUUUUGGGCAGUGUGCUCAGUGCCAGCACAGUUGCAGCAGUAAUGUGUAUGGUUGUAGCACGGACUGAGAAGGAUUCCCAAAUUGUUGCCUUUUCACACGAAAUGGUCCCUUGUCCAGUGACAGCUGACAUGACCUUACCUCAAGUUUUAGUGAAAAUGUAUGAAAUUCCAGUGGGUACCACUGAUUGUUCCCUUCCAAUGAUAUGGGCUCUAAAAACUCAGACAGCUGCUGAUGUCUUCAUUGUAUUUACUGAUAAUGAGACCUUUGCUGGGAAUGCUCCUCCUGCAAUGGCCCUUGCAGAGUACAGAGAGAAAAUGGGUAUUGCUGCUAAGCUGGCUGUGUGUGGAAUGACCUCCCACGGUUUCACGGUCGCGGACCCGGAUGACAGGGGAAUGCUGGAUAUCUGCGGCUUCGAUGCAGGAGCUUUGGACGUCAUUCGAAACUUCACUUUGGGUUUGAUCUAAGUUUUUGAGGCAUCUGCUCUUCCCAGUGGGUCCAUUGCUGGCAACAGACUUCACCCUGGGAAUUCCCAGCCAAAUACACUUUAUUAGCUUAUGGCAUACUGUAUACAUAUCAGAAUGUUACCAGAGAUGGUGGCACUUCAAGCAUUUCUGACUAGAGCUUCUCACUAAGGUGUUUGUAAGGUUAAACAGAACUUCAGUCUCAUGCAAAUCUAACAGAUUCAGAGAAACUCAGUGCUUGCAUCUCUGGUGUCAAACUAACUGUCAGUAGCCAGUCAUCCCCCUGCCACUGGAGGUGGCAGCCACAUGUCACUGCUGUCACCCUGGAACUUGGCGCCAUGCAGCAGCACACUGUGCAUUUGGACACUCCUGGUAAUGGCUGGCAGUGCAGUCAUUCACCCUUCAGAGUCCUGCAGUACAGCUGGCAGCCCUGCUCCAUGCCCCUUCAGAAAGGCAUCUCCACUCCUCAACCACCUUCCUUGUAUUCAGCCUGCUCAUUUUCCCAAGGCAGUUGGUUUCUUCCUAUACACACCCUCAAAACUCUAGUUGGACUUAGUUCCCUGACCAGCCUGGGCUCUGUGUGAGCUGGAGCUCCAAAAAGCAUCAUCCCUUCUGUGAUAACCACAGUAACUGUGCUCUGGGUUCUGUGGGCCAGCAACAGCCAGCCUGGAUCUGUCCCAGGGGGUAAACAGGACCCCCUGUUAUGAUGGGAUGAUGGCAGGACCGCAGUGUAGUUCACAAACCCUUGGUUCCUGGGCUUCACCAAAGUCUUCCUGGCUAUCCUGGCCUGCACCACAUGAAUUACCCCAUCCCUGUUUUCCUCAAGCUCCACAGCUUCCACUGCCUUGAGGAGAAGGGUGGUUUUGCCUGGGCCCAAGGAAGACACCACCACAGCAAACACUUUGUGUCACCAUGCUGGACCCUGCUCUUGAUCUCCACCAGUACUAGAGUCAGCCCAGACACCAGCUUGGCCACAUCCAGUUGCUCAGCAGGGUAAGCGAAGAGGGCCACAAAGUUACCCAGCUCCUUUGGAGUUCUGUUGCUGCAGGUUUCCCUGCUGCAGCAGCCCCUGCUGAGGACAUGCUGCCUUCAUCAGCCACAGGAGGUUGUACUGCAGGAUGGCCAGCUUCUUGUCCCUCAGGACUUCGGCAGCAGCAGAGACCAGCAGUGCCAGGAAGCAGGUGGAUCACCUCCAGAGUGCUGAGCACCACCUUGGAGUCAUUGAGGAGGGUGGAGAGGAAGCUGAGGAGCCCCAGAGGCAAGACUUUGGCCUUUUAGGAUUGAGAAAGUCCCUUGCAAACAAUCCUGAAUGAAAAGGGGUCCAGGAGGGCUGGACAUCCUUCAAGGAUCUUAAAAGAUGCAGGCUGUCCCCAUGUGCUGAAAGAUGAGCCAGUGGGGAAGAAGACAGACCUGGUUGAACAGGGAGCUUGUCACUGGAACUCAGGUCCAUGGAGUCAGAUGGAAUCCACCCAAGCCUCUCUCCACCAUUUGUCAUCAAUCCUGGCUGACCAGGGAAGUCUCAAGACAACUGGAGGUUGGCCAGUGUGGCACCCAUGGAGCACAAGGGCUGGAAGGAGGAUCCAGAAAACCACAGGCCUGUCAGUCUGACCUUGGUGCCAGGGAAGGUUGUGAAACAGAUCAUCUUAAUCACACAGCACAUGCAGGACAGCCAGGGAUCAGGCCCAGCCAGCGUGGCUUUAUGAAAGGCAGGUUCAGCCUGACCAACCUGAUCUACUGUGAAUGGUGACCUCCCUUGUUGAUGUCAUCGACCUGGACUUCAGCAAAGCCUAGGACACUGUUUCUCACAGUAUUCUCCUGGAGAAGCUAGGAGCUUGGCUUGGACAGAUGCACUGUUUGCUGGCUGAAAUACUGGCUGGAUGGCUGGGCACAGAGAGUGGUGGUGACUGAGUCACACCCUGCUGCAGGCUGGACACCGGUGGUGCUCCUAAGGGCUCACUGUUGGGGCCAGUCCUCUUCAGUGUCUUUAUGGCUGAUCUGGACAAGGGGAUUGAGGACACCCUCAGUUUGCAGAUAACACCAGGUUGAGCCAAAGAGUUGAUCUGCUGGAGGGCAGGAAGGCUCUGCAGAGGGAUCUGGACAGGCUGGAUCCAUGGACUGGGGCCAGUUGAAUGGGGUUCAACGAGGCCAAGUGCUGGGUCCUGCCUUUGGGUCACAGCAAUCCCCUGUAAUGCUUCAGGUGGGGCAGAGUGGCUGGAAAGCUGCCCAGUGGAUGCUGGUCAAGAGUGAGUGAACUUGGCCAGCUGUUCUCAGGUGGGCAAGAAGGCCAAGGGCAUCCUGGCUUGGAUCAGAAGGAGUGGCAGCAGGACCAGGGAAUGGCUUGUUCCUCUUUACUUGGCACUGGUGAGGCUGACCCUCAAAUCCUGUUUGCAGCCAAGCAUUGAACAGGCUGCCCAGGGAAGUGGUGGAAUCGUCAUCCAUGGAAGAGUUCCAAAACCAUGUGCAUCUGGUGCUUAGGGACAUGGCUCUGGCAGUGUUGGGUUGAUGGUUGGACUUGAGUUUAAGAGCUCUUUUCCAACUCUCAUGAUUUUGUGAUUCUUUAUUACCUUUUCUUGAAGGGAAAACAAGAAAAGCAGAUGAGGAAUCUCUUUUUUUUUUUUUUUCCUGUUGCACACAAUUUACAAUAACAGUGAGAAGUUUGCUAAAAGAGCUUACAGGGUUACAUAGUAUAUAAUUUAAUUUCAUUUAUAGUAGACUAUAAAUAUGGAGAGAUUUUUAAUUUCCCCCAUUGCUGUGGAAUGCUUAUUUGCGAGAAUAAAUUCAUUAAUUACUUGUAGAAUGGGGCUGGAAACAAAUGGGCUUAGUAUUUGUAAUAAUGGCAGUUUACCAGCAACUUCAUUGAGAGGGACUUUUUGUUGGACUUUUAAAAAUAUUUGUAUUUUAAGUAUUACUAAUGUUCAGUGGUUUCCAUGGUUACAGUUAAAAUCUACUAAAGAAGUUUUUUCUGGUAUGUAUUGAGACCGUGUGACUGUGAUACAGUGUAAAAGUUACCCAGGGACAUUUUAUACUGAUAAAACUGAAAGUGCAAGAGCUCAUGCUAAUCUUUUUCUCUCUGGAUUAUCAUCUGGAUUUUCAGGAGGAAAUAUGCCUUUAGAUAAAUUGAGGGGCAGUUUCUGCACAAUACCAUUUCAGAAGCACUAGUUUAGAAUUCAGACACUUUACAGGAAGUUCUAAAAACUGUUUUAAGUAGAAAAAGACCUUGGAAAUGACUGGGAUCUCACAUUCAGUCCUUGUCACAGCUUCAAGAAGCAUCAGCACACCUUCAGUGAGCAAGAUUACUAAGUGCAUGUGUCUUGGCCUGCUCCCCAAAGCUGAGUGGGAACUACCAGAAACAAAAAACUACAUUUUUUUUUUAUUUUUCAAAAGAAUGUAUUCAAUGGCUCAGAAACAAUCUUCCUAACAGGGGAGUAUUUCAUUUUUUAAAAUCUUUUUGUAGAUUAGUGUUACUUCUGAUUUAAUAAAUUAAUUCAAGCUAACAUAUUUCAAAACUACCUCCAGUUUAUAGUGACCAAUUCUUAAAAACUUUUAUGAACUGUACAGGUGCCCUCCUUCAUGUUCACAAAAUCUGGUUUAGGAAGUGACUGAAACUGGAUUCUUUAUUUUUAGUUUUUUAUUUUUUGUCUGAUAGUAAGAAUGUGACAAAGAGAAAGCCAGUGAGUAUUCUACCACUUUGGAACAGAAAUUGAUAGUAAUUUGUGUGUAUAUGUAUUUAAUUCUGUGUUUUCUAUAUGUGUGUACAGGGGGGAAGUUAAAAGAUCUCUUUAGUAGAUCAGUCUUACAAGAUUUGAAAGGUUUUUUAGUGAUGCUUUUAUGACUUCCUCUAAAACAUACGUAUUUCAGCCUCUUUUAUGCUAAUGCAGACUGUUUUAAACAGUGAGUUUGAUGUUAAUUUGAAAAUAAUGAUUUAUAAAAAUUUCAUGUUUACCCAUAGUGGUAAAUUACACAUAAGACCAUAUUUUUCUGCCUAAAACCCAAGCUUUUAAAUGUAAAAUUGAAGUUCCUACUAUACUUUUAGUACUUGUAGCACUUUUCAUUAUGCCUCAUUCCUAUUGAUUAUAAAUUCAAAGCUUACAUUCUGUAGCUGGGAUAUCUCUUUUGGUGCUAAAAUAGGAUGUUACAUGUUACUGAAGGUAUUCUGCUACUUACUUACACUCUCCCUUAAUGCAUAAUCAAUCCAGUGAGGGAAGCCUUUCCUGGCACAAAGCAGGGCUUCAGGAGCUGCUGGGUAGAGUGUUGCCUUUCAGCCAACAUGAAUGUAAGUCACUCCUGAAUUCUCACAGAAGAGCUCUGACAGGAUGCUUGGAGACACAGGACUGCCACCAGCUCCUCAGGUGAGUUCUAGAACAAGCCAAGUGUUCCUGCAAAAGCUAAGGCAGCACUUUUGGGUUUGCAAAAAGAAGAGCAGCCAUUUUUCGUGAAAAAUUGCAUAUCAUUUUUAGCAUCUA